AUACUCACCUGGCAGGGGAGACGCCAUGGUCAGGUAGGUGGUUUUCCCAGGAUGAGGCUUAUCCUUUGCAGUCCAGGUGUGCUGACCCCUGUGAUUUCCCCAGAUGCAGGAAACUUGACAGCACAAUUCAUGGUAGUGGAGGGCUGCAUUUGUGCUCUUCCCUG